AGCCAUACUUGUCGUCGCCGCCGA
rnacentral:siRNA from 1 species